UAAGGAAUAUUGGUCAAUGGACGAAAGUCUGAACCAGCCAUGCCGCGUGAAGGAUGAAGGCCCUCUGGGUUGUAAACUUCUUUUAUAGGGGACGAAAAAAGCUCAUUCUUGAGCACUUGACGGUACCCUAGGAAUAAGCACCGGCUAACUCCGUGCCAGCAGCCGCGGUAAUACGGAGGGUGCAAGCGUUAUCCGGAUUUACUGGGUUUAAAGGGUGCGUAGGUGGGCAGUUAAGUCAGCGGUGAAAUCU
rnacentral:rRNA from 1 species